rnacentral:rRNA from 1 species
GGUUGCAAUCGCCUUAUUGUCAACUCUGAUAAUAUGGAAGUGAUUGACACAAUGAAAAAUGAAGGAAAAUCGGCGGGAGUGGUGUUCGACGAUUGCUAUUUUAUGACAUGUGAUUUUCCUGUUACUAGGUUUGAGCAUUGUAAUAGGGAAGCAAAUAAAAUUUCUCAUGAACUUACUAGGCUAGCGACAUUUUCCGAGACUAGGGAUUGGUGUGAGGAGCCAAUGGAUGACAUUGUUUCUUUUCUUAUUGCCGAUGUAACUCUUAUAUCUAAUUAA